rnacentral:rRNA from 1 species
CCUACGGGAGGCAGCAGUGGGGAAUAUUGCACAAUGGGCGAAAGCCUGAUGCAGCGACGCCGCGUGAGGGAUGACGGCCUUCGGGUUGUAAACCUCUUUCAGCAGGGAAGAAGCGAAAGUGACGGUACCUGCAGAAGAAGCGCCGGCUAACUACGUGCCAGCAGCCGCGGUAAUACGUAGGGCGCAAGCGUUGUCCGGAAUUAUUGGGCGUAAAGAGCUCGUAGGCGGCUUGUCACGUCGGAUGUGAAAGCCCGAGGCUUAACCUCGGGUCUGCAUUCGAUACGGGCUAGCUAGAGUGUGGUAGGGGAGAUCGGAAUUCCUGGUGUAGCGGUGAAAUGCGCAGAUAUCAGGAGGAACACCGGUGGCGAAGGCGGAUCUCUGGGCCAUUACUGACGCUGAGGAGCGAAAGCGUGGGGAGCGAACAGGAUUAGAUACCCUGGUAGUCCACGCCGUAAACGUUGGGAACUAGGUGUUGGCGACAUUCCACGUCGUCGGUGCCGCAGCUAACGCAUUAAGUUCCCCGCCUGGGGAGUACGGCCGCAAGGCUAAAACUCAAAGGAAUUGACGGCNGAGAGUGCGAGACGACGACGAGGGAGAGG